CCCCACAUUGUCAUUGGAGAAAUUAAAUAAGUAUAAGAAAAAAAAAUUGUAUAAGAAAAAAUACUGAAUAAUAAUUUCCUGUCAAUAUACACAUCUACAUGGUAUGUCCUUAUUAUCUACAAAAUUUCAUGAAAUUCUGUUGUGUGUUUUCAGAGGAGUUGAGAUGACAAACUGUUGCAGAAGUACAUUGAAGCAAAUAAGUUCAAAGGGGCAUAACUCCUACAAAAAAAAUUGAAUCGCAAUUUCCUGUUGAUAUGCACAUCUACAUAGUAUGUCCUUAUUAUCUGAAAAGGUUUCGUGAAAUUCUGUUGUGUGGUUUGAGAGGAGUUGCGAUGACAAACUGUUGCAGAAGUACAUUAAAGUAAAUAAGUUCAAAGGGGCGUAACUCCUAGAAAAAAAAUUGAAUCGCAAUUUCCCGUCGAUAUGCACAACUACAUAGUAUGUCCUUAUUAUCUGAAAAGGUUUCGUGAAAUUCUGUUGUGUGGUUUGAGAGGAGUUGCGAUGACAAACUGUUGCAGUAGUACAUUAAAGUAAAUAAGUUUAAAGGGGCGUAACUCCUAGAAAAAAAAUUGAAUCGCAAUUUCCCGUCGAUAUGCACAACUACAUAGUAUGUCCUUAUUAUCUGAAAAGGUUUCGUGAAAUUCUGUUGUGUGGUUUGAGAGGAGUUGCGAUGACAAACUGUUGCAGUAGUACAUUAAAGUAAAUAAGUUCAAAGGGGCGUAACUCCUAGAAAAAAUUGAAUCGCAAUUUCCCGUCGAUAUGCACAACUACAUAGUAUGUCCUUAUUAUCUGAAAAGGUUUCGUGAAAUUCUGUUGUGUGGUUUGAGAGGAGUUGCGAUGACAAACUGUUGCAGUAGUACAUUAAAGUAAAUAAGUUCAAAGGGGCGUAACUCCUAGAAAAAAAAAAUUGAAUCCCAAUUUCCCGUCGAUAUGCACAACUACAUAGUAUGUCCUUAUUAUCUGAAAAGGUUUCGUGAAAUUCUGUUGUGUGGUUUGAGAGGAGUUGCGAUGACAAACUGUUGCAGUAGUACAUUAAAGUAAAUAAGUUCAAAGGGGCGUAACUCCUAGAAAAAAAAUUGAAUCACAAUUUCCCGUCGAUAUGCACAACUACAUAGUAUGUCCUUAUUAUCUGAAAAGGUUUCGUGAAAUUCUAUUGUGUGGUUUGAGAGGAGUUGCGAUGACAAGAAACAGGACUGACGGACUGACGGACGGAC
rnacentral:lncRNA from 1 species